rnacentral:rRNA from 1 species
AGUCGAACGGAAUCCUUAGGGAUUUAGUGGCGGACGGGUGAGUAACACGUAAGAACCUGCCUCUAGGACGGGGACAACAGUUGGAAACGACUGCUAAACCCGGAUGAGCCGAAAGGUAAAAGAUUAAUCGCCUAGAGAGGGGCUUGCGUCUGAUUAGCUAGUUGGUGAGGUAAGAGCCCACCAAGGCGACGAUCAGUAGCUGGUCUGAGAGGAUGAUCAGCCACACUGGGACUGAGACACGGCCCAGACUCCUACGGGAGGCAGCAGUGGGGAAUUUUCCGCAAUGGGCGAAAGCCUGACGGAGCAAGACCGCGUGGGGGAGGAAGGUUCUUGGAUUGUCAACCCCUUUUCUCAGGGAAGAACACAAUGACGGUACCUGAGGAAAAAGCAUCGGCUAACUCCGUGCCAGCAGCCGCGGUAAUACGGGGGAUGCAAGCGUUAUCCGGAAUGAUUGGGCGUAAAGAGUCCGUAGGUAGUCAUCCAAGUCUGCUGUUAAAGAGCGAGGCUUAACCUCGUAAAGGCAGUGGAAACUGGAAGACUAGAGUGUAGUAGGGGCAGAGGGAAUUCCUGGUGUAGCGGUGAAAUGCGUAGAGAUCAGGAAGAACACCGGUGGCGAAGGCGCUCUGCUGGGCUAUAACUGACACUGAGGGACGAAAGCUAGGGGAGCGAAUGGGAUUAGAUACCCCAGUAGUCCUAGCGGUAAACGAUGGAAACUAGGUGUGGCCUGUAUCGACCCGGGCCGUGCCGAAGCAAACGCGUUAAGUUUCCCGCCUGGGGAGUACGCACGCAAGUGUGAAACUCAAAGGAAUUGACGGGGGCCCGCACAAGCGGUGGAGUAUGUGGUUUAAUUCGAUGCAACGCGAAGAACCUUACCAGGACUUGACAUCUCUGGAAUCUCCUUGAAAGGGGAGAGUGCCGUAAGGAACCGGAAGACAGGUGCUGCAUGGCUGUCGUCAGCUCGUGUCGUGAGAUGUUGGGUUAAGUCCCGCAACGAGCGCAACCCUCGUCGUUAGUUGCCAUCAUUAAGUUGGGAACUCUAGCGAGACUGCCGGUGACAAACCGGAGGAAGGUGAGGAUGACGUCAAGUCAGCAUGGCCCUUACGUCCUGGGCGACACACGUACUACAAUGCGAGGGACACAGAGCAGCCAACCCGCGAGGGAGAGCGAAUCUCACAAACCCUGGCACAGUUCAGAUUGCAGGCUGCAACUCGCCUGCAUGAAGGAGGAAUCGCUAGUAAUCGCAGGUCAGCAUACUGCGGUGAAUCCGUUCCCGGGCCUUGUACACACCGCCCGUCACACCAUGGAAGUGAGCCACGCCCGAAGUCAUUACUCUAACCCUUUCGGGGGAGGAGGAUGCCGAAGGCGGGGUUGAUGACUGGGGU